UGUCUUUUGAAAAAAAUUUAAAGUCCAAUCUGCUCACUGAAUUUUAAAGAGCCGCAGUAUUUUGACUGUGCAAAGGUAGCAUAAUCAAUAGUUUUUUAAUUGAGAACUUGUAUGAAAGAUUAGAUGAAAAAAUAAUUUUCUUUAUUUUAUUUUUUAAAUUUAUGAUUUAAGUGAAAACUCUUAAGUAUUAUAAAAAGACGAGAAGACCCUAUAGAUUUUUAUUGAAUGAAGUUUAUAAUAAUUUAAAUUUAGUUUAAUUUAAUUGGGGCGAUUUUGUAAUAUAAAAAACUUAAAGUAUUUAAACCAAUUAUUAUUGAAUUUUUUGAUCAAAAUAUUUUUAAAAAAGAACAAAUUACCUUAGGGAUAACAGCGUAAUUUUAUUUAAGAGUUCAUAUCUACAAUAAAGAUUGCGACCUCGAUGUUGAAUUAAGAUAAAAUAUUGGAGUAGAAAUUAAUAUUAUUAGUCUGUUCGACUAUUAAAUUCUUACGUGAUC
rnacentral:rRNA from 1 species